UACGUAGGGCGCAAGCGUUGUCCGGAAUUAUUGGGCGUAAAGAGCUCGUAGGCGGCUUGUCACGUCGGAUGUGAAAGCCCGGGGCUUAACUCCGGGUCUGCAUUCGAUACGGGCUGGCUAGAGUGUGGUAGGGGAGAUCGGAAUUCCUGGUGUAGCGGUGAAAUGCGCAGAUAUCAGGAGGAACACCGGUGGCGAAGGCGCUGCUCUGGGCCGAAACUGACGCUGAGGAGCGAAAGCGUGGGUAGCAAACAGG
rnacentral:rRNA from 1 species